GGGCCCAUAGCUCAGUUGGUUAGAGCACCACGUUUACACCGUGGGGGUCGUCCGUUCGAGUCGGACUGGGCCCA
rnacentral:tRNA from 1 species